UGCAGUCCAACGAACCCGAGACUUCGGUCUCAUGGGAAAGUGGCGAACGGGUGAGUAACACGUGAGAAACCUACCCCGGAGAUGGGAACAGCCCAGGGAAACCUGGAUUAAUGCCCAAUGCCCUGCCUGCACCUCAUGGUGCGCUCAGGAAACGCUCCGGUGCUCCGGGAGGGUCUCGCGGCCUAUCAGCUUGUUGGUGAGGUAACGGCUCACCAAGGCAUCGACGGGUAGCUGGUCUGAGAGGACGAUCAGCCACACUGGGACUGAGACACGGCCCACACUCCUACGGGAGGCAGCAGGAGGGAAUAUUGCGCAAUGGGCGAAAGCCUGACGCAGCGACCCCGCGUGGGGGAAGAAGGCCUUCGGGUCGUAAACCCCUUUCAGCAGGGACGAAAUUGACGGUACCUGCAAAAGAAGCGCCGGCCAACUACGUGCCAGCAGCCGCGGUAAUACGUAGGGCGCAAGCGUUGUCCGGAUUCAUUGGGCGUAAAGGGCUCGUAGGCGGUUUGGUAAGUCGGGUGUGAAAACUCAGGGCUCAACUCUGAGACGCCACUCGAUACUGCCAUGACUAGAGUCCGGUAGGGGAGUGUAGAAUUCCUGGUGUAGCGGUGAAAUGCGCAUAUAUCA
rnacentral:rRNA from 1 species